GUUAUUUACGGCAAACUACGAGCAAGGAAAUCACACCAUCAAAAUACUACAUCGAGCAAAACCAACAAAGACACGAUACCAUCAUCUGUUAUUUACGGCAAACUACGAGCAAGGAAAUCACAUCAUCAUCAAAAUACCAUAUCGAGCAAAACCAUUAAAGACACGACCGUCAUCAUCAGUUAUUUACGGCAAACUACGAGCAAGGAAAUCACAUCAUCAAAAUACCACAUCGAGCAAAACCAUCAAAG